UGCCAGCAGCCGCGGUAAUACGUAGGGGCCAAACGUUGUCCGGAUUUAUUGGGCGUAAAGGGCUCGUAGGCGGUUCAACAAGUCGGUCGUGAAAGCCCGGGGCUCAACCCCGGAAUUGCUUCUGAAACUUCCAGUCUUGAGGGUGAGAGGGGAGAGUGGAACUUCUGGUGGAGCGGUGAAAUGCGUAGAGAUCAGAAGGAACACCGGUGGCGAAAGCGACUCUCUGGCUCAUUUCUGACGCUGAGGUGCGAAAGCUUGGGUAGCGAACGGGAUUAGAUA
rnacentral:rRNA from 1 species